CCAGUUCCAGAGGAAUCCAAUGCCUCUGGCCUGGCCCCAUGCACCCAACACACACACACACACAAACACACACACACACGCAUUCAAUUUUAAAAAAUCUUUUAAGAAAAAUGAUUUCUUUUGGCCUUGCCUUCAUGUCUGCUGUCACCUAAAUUCCUGGCAGCACCCUACAGGGAGGCACACAGGGGGUGGCCAAAGUGUGGGCAGGCAUGAGCUAUGUGAGCGCAACCUUGCAUCUAACA
rnacentral:snoRNA from 1 species